CCCUCUGCUAGAAAUAGGAAAAUGCUAUAAUAACACACACAUCACAAGAAAAAAAAUGAAGCAACUUUGAUCACGCAUGCUCCCUUUAACGUCCACCUCUUUUCCCCCCCACAACAUUUCUCCUAAGUUGGAAAGUGAAGGAAAGCCCCAGUGAAGUGCUGAACACAGUUAAACCAAUCAUUCGGGGAAAGCCAUCUCAUAUUUAAAAUGCCUGUGGUAUCAAGGUGAAGGGAUCUGCGGGCAGAGAUGUAAGUGUGUGCAGCUUUUCUCUAUGAAGACAGACUGAAAGACAGGAAGAGGACGUGAUCGACAGACAGAGCUCAAUCCAGCUUGUUGUGUCCAACAAGUCAUCAGGCUCGUUUAGAAGUGGAUAUGUACAGUGGAAGAGGUGCCCCCUGAGACUGAGGUCAUCUCCAUCUCCUCGUCCAAGGCCAGAAAGUAGGUUUGUGUGAAUGGACUUCUGCCAGUUGAGGUUGUUUCGGCUAAUGUAGGUUACGUGUCCAUUGUACAUCCCACAAGCUUCUUUUAAGUGAGUGCUGAGGCUGUGUAUUAGCAUGGCAUCCUGAGGUGCAAUGGUCACUUUUCUAUCCUUAGGCAGAAAAAUAACUUGGAAACAAUGUAAAAUGUGAGUUAUUGUUUAAGCAUAUAUAAUAUAGAACGUGGAUGAGAAAAAAAUUGUAAUCCGGACCGGAAUGCUUGUCCGUGUUUACAUGGGCCUUCUGUAAAUCAGUUUAUAGACACUACCCAUU